UAGGGAAUCUUCGGCAAUGGGGGGAACCCUGACCGAGCAACGCCGCGUGAGUGAAGAAGGUUUUCGGAUCGUAAAGCUCUGUUGUUAAGGAAGAACGAGUGUGAGAAUGGAAAGUUCAUACUGUGACGGUACUUAACCAGAAAGGGACGGCUAACUACGUGCCAGCAGCCGCGGUAAUACGUAGGUCCCGAGCGUUGUCCGGAUUUAUUGGGCGUAAAGCGAGCGCAGGCGGUUAGAUAAGUCUGAAGUUAAAGGCAGUGGCUCAACCAUUGUAGGCUUUGGAAACUGGUUGACUUGAGUGCAGAAGAGGAGAGUGGAAUUCCAUGUGUAGCGGUGAAAUGCGUAGUUAUAUGGAGGAACACCAGUGGCGAAGGCGACUCUCUGGUCUGUAACUGACGCUGGGGCUCGAAAGCGUGGGUAGCAAACAGG
rnacentral:rRNA from 1 species